UGGCCUCUACUUGUAAGCUAUCGCUGAGGGAUGGGCCUGCGGGCCAUUAGCUUGUUGGUGAGUAACGGCUCACCAAGGCUGUGAUGGCUAGCUGGUCUGAGAGGAUGACCAGCCACACUGGGACUGAGACACGGCCCAGACUCCUACGGGAGGCAGCAGUGGGAAUAUUGCGCAAUGGGCGAAAGCCUGACGCAGCGACGCCGCGUGGGUGAUGAAGGCCUUCGGGUCGUAAAGCCCUGUCGCAGGGGAAGAAUAAGCAUCGGUAUAAUACGCCGGUGCCCUGACGGUACCCUGCAAGAAAGCACCGGCUAACUCCGUG
rnacentral:rRNA from 1 species